UGAGGAAUAUUGGUCAAUGGACGCAAGUCUGAACCAGCCAUGCCGCGUGCAGGAUGAAGGUGCUAUGCAUUGUAAACUGCUUUUGUACGAGGGUAAAUGCAGGUACGUGUACCUGUUUGAAAGUAUCGUACGAAUAAGGGUCGGCUAACUCCGUGCCAGCAGCCGCGGUAAUACGGAGGACCCGAGCGUUAUCCGGAUUUAUUGGGUUUAAAGGGUGCGUAGGCGAUAGUAAGUUAGAGGUGAAAGCUCGAUGCUCAACAUCGAAAUUGCCUCUGAUACUGUUAGUCUAGAGUAUAGUUGCGGAAGGCGGAAUGUGUGGUGUAGCGGUGAAAUGCUUAGAUAUCACACAGAACACCGAUUGCGAAGGCAGCUUUCCAAGCUAUUACUGACGCUGAUGCACGAAAGCGUGGGGGAGCGAACAGGAUUAGAUACC
rnacentral:rRNA from 1 species